rnacentral:lncRNA from 1 species
CUCUUGUCACUCAAGCCUCACUAUCCAAUCAGGCCCUGCAUGUGUCCUGCCACUCAGAAGUGGUACCGGGCUCUUCCUGUCACGAGGCUUCAGGCUUGACUUUGCAGAGGAGACAGCAGUUUUGUGUGCCGUGCUGCAGUUGCUGCUGCAGGGAGCUGUGCUGAGAGCUUCAGAGAUCCGGGAAACCACAACAUGGCCAGCUGUGUUUUCCACAGUUCACAGGAGCAUAACAUGAGAAGAAACAGAGUCUGGCAAGUUAGGCUUCAACUCUUCAUAGACACUGCCUGGAGUGCAUGGGAUCCUUCACCAUCAACAUCACCGGUUGUCAUGGCCAUGCCCAUGUGUGUGGGAUCUCCAGUGUAGGCUUUCUUCACUACCACCGGCAUUCCCAUCACCAGCAUCACAUUCCUCAUUGUCUCCAUCAUCUCCACCACCACAAUUAUGGAUCCUAACACUGAGGACAAUGUAUGGUAUCCAUCUGGCACUACCCCCCAUCCAGCAAGAAAAUGAGUAGAUCCUGAUCUUUCCAAAGAAAACAACGUAUCUCUGAUGUGAAUCAUGUCUCUGGGACCUGAGUCCUACUUGGCUUCCAUUUGUAUUUGAGCCCAUAUCCCAGUGUACAACAGACCCGGGAACCAUUUGCACAGCCGUAUACACUGUAGGGCUUCGGCCUGAAGCGGGGCUGGAUUGACACACCCUACAUUAUGACUAUGCAAGUAACAAAGAUGUCUGUUAGAGCCAGGGAAGUGUUCAUCUAAUAUAGAGGCCCUGUGAUACCCUUACAGGUACAGAAUGUGUAUGGCCAUACAUUGCUGCUUGGUCAUGAGAAAUAAAAGCCAACAGAAAACCUCAAUUCCUUGCAAAAUGGUUCUUAAUUGUAGCAAAAUGGGAGGAGGGUUUCAUUAGGGCUGUGUCGAAAAGCCCUGGGAACAAUUCUGGGAUGAGGAGCUGGGUCUGAAAUAUACCUAUCACAACUGGGGAGGUUUAGAAGGAACCUGACUAAGCUACAAGAAAAUAUUCAUGUGGACAUCCAGUGCUUUGGGGAAAGGACAUUGGUGACCACCUAGACUGGUCCUGAGCACUCUGCUUCCAGUGCUCCUAUGAGCCUGGUCAAGGCCAGGUACUCCCCCUUGGCAACACUGAGUUCACUGUUCCCUUCAGGACUCUGUAGGGAUUCUCAUCCAGACCUUGAUUCUACAGCCAGUCUGUCUGAAGAAUAAUAGAAGUGGCUCAAAAGAAUAGAGGGAAGGAAGUGUUAUUUAAAUUGCUUGGAUUUAUGGGUGGCCUUAUGAGAAUACUUGCUGCCUUUAAUCCCAGCAUUCAGGAGGCAGAGGCAGGUGAGUUUGAGACCAGCCUGGUCUAAAAGAGCUGGUUCCAUGACAGCCUACAAAGCUAUAGAGAAACUCUGUAUCAAAACACACACACACACACACAGACACACACACACACACACACACACCACACACACAAAGUAGUUAUUUUUAAAAAGUAACUGAACUUAUCAUUAAACCAAAUUACUCUCCUUACAGUACUUCAAUCAUAAUAGAAGAACUGGAUAAAAUGGUGUGGCCCUUCCUAACAUGAUUGUGUUUUCCAGGUUUAAGAUGUAUGUGGGUAGUACUUGGUAUAAAGCCUUUUCAACUUUCUAACAGAUAUCAUGUAUUACAAUUAUUCCCAGAAUCUCUUAUCUGACUCCAAGUCCCUUCCCCCCCCCCCAUAUACUCUUCAUUGUAUUCUAAUACAUGGCCUUUCUCCUAAUUAGCCUCAGCUGUCAACAUGAAAUAGCCUAGAGAAAACUGAGGGAACAUCAGCAGAGGCUGGGCCUAGAUCAGAAUAUCUGAUUGCCGUGUGUUGAUUAUGAUUGAUGUUUGAAGUCUCUUCCUUUGAGCAGGCCAUAUCUCUAAUAAUGUAGGCUUGGGAUGUAUAAUAGGGGCAGUUUAGCACUGGACAGUAAGAAAAAGAGAUACCUAGGAAGCAAGGUUUCCUCUUGUUUUACCUUUAUCUAUUGCUUCAGUUUCUAGCCUAAGUUCCCACAAGAAUGAACAGUGACAUAGGGAUAUCAAUCAAAUAAACAUGUUCACUACAAAGAGUUGCUUUUGUUUUAGAGAAUUGAAUCAUAGCAACAGAGAAGAAAGUUGGAACAAAAUAUGGGACAUCAAAUGUGAUUUUCUUGUUGUUUUGUUAUCUAGCCCAGGGAUGCCACUGAUUCAUGGCAGCUUUCUCCUCAGCUUCUGAGUGCUGGGGCUAUGUGUUAUGUACUCCUGUCAAUCAUAAAAGGUUAAUGUUAGGCCAGAAGUGCUACAUUUACUGCUUCUGGUAGAGUUAGAAUUGAAAGCGAUUCGAGUAAUGAGAACUAUAUAACAGAGUCUGCAGAAACUUUGGUCAUUUGGUUACAUGCAUUGUGCCAUUCACAGAAGUGGGGGAUAAUAUGGGAUAUUUUUUAAAAAACACCCAAUGGUAACUAAAUUAAAUGCUUGUCAGGUUUGCAAGCAGAGCUUACUCCAGCUUACUCAACACCAUCUGAGAUACUGUGAAUCACAGCAGUUAGAAAAUGGAUACUAGAAAAUGGAAUUUUAAACAAAAAUGGUUUAAUGUUGUUAACCAUUAAAUAUGUAAUUUGUAGCUCUGGAGUUUCACAGAAGGAAGAAGCCUCUACUUGGCAUCAUGAGGAAUCUCCACACUAGAGGGGUUAUUUGCUAAUACAUAUAUUCCAUGUUUUUUAAAGUUUAAGGUUUUCACAGUCACCUGCCUACACUACUGAUUGGUAUUAUAGGUUGUAUAAUACCUAUAUUAUAGGUAUUAUUUAUUGGUUGUAUAAUUAUAGGUUGUAUAAUAAGGUUGCAUCUUAAAUUGCAAACUUCAUAUUGUGGCAAAGGCUUUUUGUAAUAUUUAGCUUUAGAGAAAUUUCAAACUGAUGUAAAUAACUAUAUAGACAAGCAGAUAUUGUAAAUUUUGGUAAUUGUAACAAGUUGUGCUGUUUAUAAAAUUACUUUCAAAAUUAAAAUCCCCACCCAUAAAGUUGACUUAAGCAUGUUCAAUAUUAAACCUGAGUUACUUCUUUAUGUUUGAAAAGAAACCACACAGAACAGUACGCUUGCAUUGACAUUCGGUGUCUGCCAUUAUUUUAUAAAGUUCAUUUACAUGUAUUUUUGACUCAUCAGGUCAAAAACUGUUGCCGUACAAGUACAAUAAGCUUGUUCCUACAAGCAAGUGGUAGAGAGAACCAAGUCCUGAAAGUGGUCCAUUGGCCACUAUAUAUGGUUUAUACUAUGUAAACACACUCCCAAAUUACACAACACCUAUCAUACACAGACACAUAUACACGCACAACAUACACAUAAACAAAAAUCCCCCUCACACGUAUACACACAUUUAGCAAAAACACACGUAAACAAUAAUACAUACACACAAAGAGACACACAAACGAAAAUAGACACAUCACAUAAAGCACAAUACCACACACACAUAAAUACAAAUAUCAUACAAAUGUGCACACACAAACAUAUACACACACAUACACCCACAAACACACUUUCAAAAUCCUAAAGAACACUUAGGAUACAUCCUUUCAAUAAAUUUACACAGGACUGAAUUUUUUUCAAUUUGUUAUUUAUCCUUUGUGUGAUAUAGAACCAUGUUCUGAAGAAUUCUGACCUCAUAGAUCUAGUCUUUCUGUUAGCAUAAAAUGCAUAUUUACUAAGUAUAAACUUGGAAUAUGUUGGUUCCUGAGGAGAUGAAUAAAAUAUAUUUUAUUUUAUUAUCAUUGUCAUAGAAGAAUUAUUUUGAGUCUCUAUAAGCACCAUGUUAAGGUUCAACUGUUGGCGG